ensembl:lncRNA
AGCUGACUUUUCUCAGCAGUCCUACAGCAAGGCUAGGUGGUGCAGAAGGAGGGCUCCAAACCUCAGCUGACCACACUGAUGUGUAUUUUGAGAUUUUUAGACUUCUCAUGUAGGCAGUUUUCAAAAAUUGAUACAGAGGAAAUAGAUACUUUUCUGCCAGUGGAAAUUCUUCAUGCUGAGUUGUAAGAAGUUCCAUGGACCGUUUAGCUAUUAAAGGCUGACUGUCCAUAUGGCUUCCUCCACUCAUAGAUGGUAGUAAUCAGGAUGGUACCUGACUUUGCCUCUUGGUGCCACCUCUCCAAAAUUCAGACUACAAACUGAGAAUUGACGAUUUUCAACAGCACAUCAAUAUUUUCCUACAUCCAGUCACAGCAGGUAGAACCAUGAUGGGCCCUAUGGCAUUGAGGAACAGUGAGCUUCAGAAUGCUGCAGGUCUGAACAAGCAUCCACUGAAGCCACCUACAUUGUUGGUAUCCUGGUGAGACCACUUGGAAAGCAAAUGGUCUGCAAAAUGAUCUACAUUAUCUUGAUUUUCUCCUCAAUGAAUCAUUCAAGUGUACUACAACAGGUCAUUAAAGAUAAACUUGUAUGUUAUAGACAUCUCUGUUCCAUCCCCUGUCUUUGGACUAGUGAUACUGUACGACAAAAGAUACUGAAAGAAGGAAGUUUCACUUCUGUCCAUCACUGUGGAACUCUCUAGUGUCUGCAUGUGCUGCCUCAGCUGUCUACUAGACUCAGGAAAGGAUUCUCUGUUUCCCAGUCUGCAGCUAUGCAUUACCAAGAACGGUGUUACAUUCCCAUGUCCUGAUUUCCACAGUGCCCAGCUCCCCAGCUCGACUCCUACACAGUAUCCAGCCCUCCCACUCACUCCCUCUCCUUGGGACUGUCUUGGGACCUACACCCCACUUAGAGUUCCCCAAUGUUCCCAGUUCUCAGCCCUCCAGUAGACCAUAUCCCAUAUGUCAUUCAUAAUUGUAUUUUGCCUGAUGUGUCCUUCUCGUUGACUCUGUAUUGUAAAAGCCAAGGAGAAUAGCUAAAGCAAGGAGCAUUGUUUUGCUGGAACAUGUUAACAGUUUUAUGAGAGUGAGCCUUUGAUCUAUGGACAAUUAAAGUUGCUCAUUCUACU